rnacentral:rRNA from 1 species
UACGUAGGGUGCGAGCGUUAAUCGGAAUUACUGGGCGUAAAGCGUGCGCAGGCGGUUUUGUAAGCCAGAUGUGAAAUCCCCGGGCUUAACCUGGGAAUGGCAUUUGGGACUGCAAGGCUUGAGUGCGGCAGAGGAGACUGGAAUUCCUGGUGUAGCGGUGAAAUGCGCAGAUAUCGGGAAGAACACCCGUGGCGAAGGCGGCUCUCUGGAACGCAACUGACGCUGAGACGCGAAGGCGUGGGGAGCAAACAGG